rnacentral:rRNA from 1 species
AACGGCCGUACCAUGCUGAAUAUACCGGUUCUCGUUAGAUCACCGAAGUCAAGCAUCAUUGGGCGUGGUCAGUACUUGGGUGGGUGACCACCUGGGAACACCGUGUGCCGUU